UCUCCCCGCAGUCGCGCCGCGCCCCUCUCCUCUCCCUGCCGCCUCGCCUCUCUUGCUCCCUCCAAACCCUAGCCCCGCCCGCGCCUCCCUGCCCUGCCGCCGUCCAGUUCCAGCACCUGCCCCGACGAGCGGCUCAUGGCGGUGCCGGAUCCAGCGUCGGGGUCGAGGCGCGCUGCCCGUGCGUGGGGAGAGGCACCCGGACGGCGUAGGGCGUGGGGCGUGGGUCAUCUGCCUCUUCUCCUCCCCUCCGCUCCCUGCCGCGUCGCCGCCUCUGCUCGCCCUCGGGUCAUCGCUUCCGCUCGCCCUCGCGCCGUCGCAUCGCGUCCUCCUCCUCGCCAUCUCGGUGCUCACCGGGAGGAGCACGGCUCGCCGCCGCAGCUACUCCGCGUCGCUGCUCCCUCGUUGAGCUCGCGCGUCCCCAUCGCCUGGAGAAGCGGAGGCUGCAGCUCCUGCAUCUGCUCGGCCCUCUUUCCCUCGUCAGUGAGCGGCUCAUGGCAGCUUCGGAUCCACUGUGCAGCACAUGUUGUCUGUUCUGCAAGAUCGACGCUGGCCUUCUACGUCAUGCGGUGGCCAUGGCCAGUGCUCUGCCGCCUCCAACUUUGGCCUCCGUCUCCACUUCAUUAGGUUGACCCCCCCCCCCCUCUCUCUCUGACCUCUGUUUUUCCAUGUAUUGGCUUGCAGGUCGCCGCCUGGUGGGUACUGGCUCGAAGGUGACGAGGUACACCAGCAGUUGGAUCAAGACUAUAUGAGGUGAUGACAAACUGUGUAAUCUUCAAAUCCACUUGACCAUAGCAAGUAUCUGCAAGGUCAGAUUCUUGUGUCACUUGCUUAUAUCCGAUGAAGAGAGUCUACUUCGUACAGAUGUUUCAUUUUACCUAGGGAUAAAAAGUGCAAUGUAAAGGUUCAUUAAACAAUCUGAACUUAUAUCUAUCAUUUAGGUGCUGAAUUUGUCUAUUUGAACUUUAUUGGUACUGAAGUUAUCUCGAUGACUGAUAUUCAUUGAUGUAACAUGUGCUGGGAUAAAUAAUAUACAAGUGGAUAUGAGGGAUAGAUAAUACAAUAGAUGAGGGCGAGCUUCAGAUUUUUGAGAAGUGUUUUUAAUGAUAACUAAAUUCUUUCAAAGUAAGGGAAUGAUUUAAACUUCUGUCGUAAACAAUGGUGUGCCUCACAUCAUUUGGAUUUGAAAUUAUUGGAUUGAGUUGAUAUGAUGCGAUAUAAGGAAAUAGUCAUCUGCACAUAUACUAAUGUAGAUACAGUCCCUUUGCAACAGAAGUAUUUAUGGAUUUUUUUUUGUUUCAUUUGUGGCACAAGGGAAACCAUGGUUGAUGAUUCCUUGCCUUUCCAGUGCUUGGGCGCACCUAGCAGCUGCUUCACGCCUCCUGAGAAUGCCGGUAUCUCUUACUUAGGUCGGUGCUGUACGGCUUGGUUGAGCUCAAAAUUCAACGGAGACGGCAAUUGUCAGUUUUGGGCGUUCUGUUCAAUUUUACCGAACUCCUGAACACCAUAUAUUUGUACGGCACCAGCUGGUGAAGCAGCUUGGAUCUCAUUGGCUCAUCAUGAGGUAUAUACUAGAUAUGUCCCUAUGGAUUACAGAGAAUAUCUUAAGAAGAUGCCAAAAGAAUUCCAAGCACGAAACCAUGGUAUGCACAGUUGGUUAGACCUUCAAAAUUAUAUGGUCUCCAGCUCAUCAACUCUUUGAAAAUAAAAGAUUGGUGAACUCAAGAGGCUGUUGGAGGGAGGUCAAGUAUGUUGGGUUAUAGAGGCGAGCCCCGACACCAUCAGGCAUUCUUACAUUGUGCACCUGAUCUCUACCAUGUAGAUGGAAUGGUCUAUGUGGGCUUGCCCGAGAUUGCCCCUCUCUGCAGGUGAAUUGGGCACUUUACAAACUCGACUUUUGUGCUUCCAUAAUCAAUAGUCCUGAUUGAAUGAGUUGUAUCGGUUAUGUAAACUCGCUUCAUGCGUGACUUACUGUGCACAUAUAAGCUAUGCUAUAUUGUUCAUACACUUCCUAUUCCUGUGACUCAUCAUCUGGAUGGUAGAGUAAUAAUUAGUUGUGACAUUUGUUGGUA